rnacentral:rRNA from 1 species
CCCGACGACCGGCUGACACAACAUGCAAGUCGAGCGGUAAGGCCUUUCGGGGUACACGAGCGGCGAACGGGUGAGUAACACGUGGGUGAUCUGCCCUGCACUUCGGGAUAAGCCUGGGAAACUGGGUCUAAUACCGGAUAUGACCUCCUAUCGCAUGGUGGGUGGUGGAAAGAUUUAUCGGUGCAGGAUGGGCCCGCGGCCUAUCAGCUUGUUGGUGGGGUAAUGGCCUACCAAGGCGACGACGGGUAGCCGACCUGAGAGGGUGACCGGCCACACUGGGACUGAGACACGGCCCAGACUCCUACGGGAGGCAGCAGUGGGGAAUAUUGCACAAUGGGCGAAAGCCUGAUGCAGCGACGCCGCGUGAGGGAUGACGGCCUUCGGGUUGUAAACCUCUUUCAGCAGGGACGAAGCGCAAGUGACGGUACCUGCAGAAGAAGCACCGGCUAACUACGUGCCAGCAGCCGCGGUAAUACGUAGGGUGCAAGCGUUGUCCGGAAUUACUGGGCGUAAAGAGUUCGUAGGCGGUUUGUCGCGUCGUUUGUGAAAACCAGCAGCUCAACUGCUGGCUUGCAGGCGAUACGGGCAGACUUGAGUACUGCAGGGGAGACUGGAAUUCCUGGUGUAGCGGUGAAAUGCGCAGAUAUCAGGAGGAACACCGGUGGCGAAGGCGGGUCUCUGGGCAGUAACUGACGCUGAGGAACGAAAGCGUGGGUAGCGAACAGGAUUAGAUACCCUGGUAGUCCACGCCGUAAACGGUGGGCGCUAGGUGUGGGUUCCUUCCACGGAAUCCGUGCCGUAGCUAACGCAUUAAGCGCCCCGCCUGGGGGAGUACGGCCGCAAGGCUAAAACUCAAAGGAAUUG